rnacentral:miRNA from 1 species
AUAUAUAUAUACACACACACACGAACGUGUGUAUAUAUAUGUGUGUGUGUGUGUAUAUAUGU